rnacentral:rRNA from 1 species
GACGAACGCUGGCGGCGUGCUUAACACAUGCAAGUCGAACGGAAAGGCCCUGCUUGCCGGGUACUCGAGUGGCGAACGGGUGAGUAACACGUGGGUGAUCUGCCCUGCACUUCGGGAUAAGCUUGGGAAACUGGGUCUAAUACCGGAUAGGAACCAUCUUUAGUGUGGUGGUUGGAAAGUUUUUUCGGUGUAGGAUGAGCUCGCGGCCUAUCAGCUUGUUGGUGGGGUAAUGGCCUACCAAGGCGGCGACGGGUAGCCGGCCUGAGAGGGUGUACGGCCACAUUGGGACUGAGAUACGGCCCAGACUCCUACGGGAGGCAGCAGUGGGGAAUAUUGCACAAUGGGCGCAAGCCUGAUGCAGCGACGCCGCGGGGGGGAGGAAGGCCUUCGGGUUGUAAACGCCUUUCGCUAGGGACGAAGCUUUUUGUGACGGUACCUAGAGAAGAAGCACCGGCUAACUACGUG